UGACUUACUCUGGGAGUAAGCUCUGUUUUUAGAAAUAAAUAAAUAAAUUGUUUUUAUCUAACAUUUAUGGGGGGGAGGACAAGAAAACACACAAAUUUAGCCUGUAGUUAUCACGUUUCAUUAAUGUAUGUUUGGAAGGUUGGAGUCAUAUCAUAACUAUGCUAAUAUAUUGUAGGCUUCAAUUUGAGAAAAAAUUGGGCACGAACCCAUCUAUUUAUAUUAUACAAAGAGAACUCUACAAGCUGAUUGUAAGGUAAAUGUACUGAAAGCAAGCUGUCUUCUUUUCCCAACAGGGAAACUCAUCUGUGCGUGAAUUUAUUACUCACGUAUUGUGGCUAUAAUUUUUGAUAAACGAUGUGACUGUAUUUUAAGGAAAAGCGGAUUCUCGAAGCAAAUUUUUCAGCUGAGUAUCUUAGUGUAUCGGUAGGUGAAGCAAAACUGGAUGUCUUUGGUACACUGUCGCCAAUAGCGAUAGACGGGCAUUUGGCAAACCGUUUUAUCACUCUGUCGGAAUUGAGAAGCGUAAAGAGUGAAAUUUCGCUUUCAUCUCGAAAUAGCCCACGUCCUCCUACUAAUUUAUGAACUUCCAUAGCCAAGCAAAUGAAACAAUCAAAUAAUAAUAAAGAGAGCAAUGUCAGAUAGAGAAAUGUGGCAAUUAUGCAAUUGCGGAAGUUCAAAUCAAAUUAAACAAGCUUCUGCUCUUUUCCGUUCAGUCUGUUAACAUACGUGAUUAAUAAAAGCGAUGAACAACAGGAACAUAUGCAGCGAUUUUCAAUAAAAAUGCCACCAUUUUUGCU